rnacentral:rRNA from 1 species
CCUACGGGAGGCAGCAGUGGGGAAUCUUGCACAAUGGGGGAAACCCUGAUGCAGCGACGCCGCGUGAGCGAUGAAGCCCUUCGGGGUGUAAAGCUCUUUCGGCAGGGAAGAUUAUGACGGUACCUGCAGAAGCAGCUGCGGCUAACUACGUGCCAGCAGCCGCGGUAAUACGUAGGCAGCAAGCGUUGUUCGGAGUUACUGGGCGUAAAGGGUGUGUAGGCGGCGUCUUAAGUUUGGUGUGAAAUCUCCCGGCUCAACCGGGAGGGUGCGCCGAAUACUGAGGCGCUAGAGUGCGGGAGAGGAAAGUGGAAUUCCUGGUGUAGCGGUGAAAUGCGUAGAUAUCAGGAGGAACACCGGUGGUGUAGACGGCUUUCUGGACCGUAACUGACGCUGAAACACGAAAGCGUGGGUAGCAAACAGGAUUAGAUACCCUGGUAGUCCACGCCCUAAACGAUGCAUAUUUGGUGUGGGUCAUUCAGUUGAUCCGUGCCGGAGCUAACGCGUUAAAUAUGCCGCCUGGGGAGUACAGUCGCAAGGCUGAAACUCAAAGGAAUUGACGG